AUGUGUAUUCCCAGAGAGUAUACCCAAAAAAAGGGCUAAGGAAAUACACUAACAAAGUGUGUUAGCUCAAAUAGAUUAAGAUAAAGAAUUUAUUACAAUAACCAAACAGGUAUUAAAAGUUUCAAACACUUGUGCACAUUAACAAACUGACUUUUACAAAAAAGAGUGGCGAGUUUGGCACGGCUUCCGCCGCUACUCACUGCCCAGCUUGUUCAGAUAUGGUGCUGGAGAUGCUGAAUUACGGCUUCACAAAGCUGGAUUUCAGCUUAGUUCAAGCUACAGAUGUCUCCGCCCUUUUAAUACCUAUUUGGUUAUCGUAAAAAAAUUCUUUAUCUUAAUUUAUUUGAGCUAACUCACUUUGUUAGUG